rnacentral:rRNA from 1 species
UACGUAGGGCGCAAGCGUUAUCCGGAAUUAUUGGGCGUAAAGAGCUCGUAGGCGGUUUGUCGCGUCUGCCGUGAAAGUCCAGGGCUCAACCCUGGAAAGCCGGUGGAUACUGUCGGACUAGAGUGCGGAAGAGGCGAGUGGAAUUCCCGGUGUAGCGGUGAAAUGCGCAGAUAUCGGGAGGAACACCAAUUGCGAAGGCAGCUCGCUGGGACGUUACUGACGCUGAGACGCGAAAGCGUGGGGAGCAAACAGG